rnacentral:lncRNA from 1 species
ACGUGACCUGCCUGACUCCCGCCUCUUCUAUGGUUUAGCCUGGUGUCCAGCGUAUUGGACAAGUAUCUGGUGACACCCUGAGUUGUCCUCUCGCAGAUAUCUUCCUGUAUUUGGGUAACAAGUUCCUCAUCUUUGCCGUCUGUGGGCAGGGCAGCUUCUGUCUUCCUCCCAGGGUUGUUCCGCACAGAGUGGGUGGCAUAGCUGGGCCCGUUCCCGUGCACACGCCUUGGGGAAUAUCGAGUAGAAAUCACAACACAACGCUCUGUUGCAGGCAGAGGAGCUAUAUUUGUACUGAGGAGAUGUGCUAACCUCCGCGCUGGAGGGAUGAGGCAGUGGAUGUCAAGGACUCAGCCAACACUUCUUCUAACAGCAGUGAGCCGCAGUGUUUUCUUAUUCCUGUUUGCACUGAACAGCCCGGCCUCCUGCAUUUUCCUACCAGGGAUUAUUGCCAGGCAGGUAGGUGUGGGAAGGGCCUGGCUGGAAGCUACUGGAAGACAGGUUGCUUCUCUUCUAUCUCGUUUUAGAAAUCGUGCUGGUCUUGGCUACUGAUAAGAGAGAAGGGAUGCCUUGGAGGGAAGAAAAGAAAGAAAGAAAGAAAGAGAGAGAGAGAGAGAGAGAGAGAAAGAAAAGACAAGACAGAAAGAAAGAGAAAGGCAGGCAGGCAGGCAGGAAGGAAGGAAGAAAGGAAGGAAGGGAGAUGGAAAGACCAGAAAGAGAGUGGGUCUCCAGGUUGAAGAGUAAGGAAGAAACACCAUUUUGAAUGUGUUGCCUCCACAUACCAUUAAGUACAAAACGAGCCAUUGAGAGAUAUCACAUAAAAUGUCACAGGAUGAAAAGAAAGUAGACAACUGCAGUAACGUUAGCAUAAAAGGGAUGACUAAAGUCUGCUUUCUUCUUCUAGAGGAGAUCAUCAAAAGACAUGGCCAGUUUCCACCACAGAGCCAGGGCAAGCCAGAGACACCAGAAAGGAGGUGAAGCACAGGCCUGAACUAGGUCUGAUGGAAUGCUUACCUCAGAAGUAACCACCCAGGGUUCCUUUAUCCAACUGGUGCAGCUGGCUGAUUCAGUCUUCUCCCUCAAGAAACCGACCUACUGAAGAUAGCAGGGAAGCAUUGCAAGGAAA